UACGUGUGUUUGUUUACAUGGAAACUUACCCAAAAUUAACGGAGAAGCAAGACAGAGCUCAGCAAAAAGCAAGACCAAGAUGUCAAAAUGACGAUGAACAGCGGAAGAGGUGCUGGAAGCAUUUUUGUGAACGAGUGGCCUCGCGACGCUGCAGCUGAUCCUCAUCACGAUCAGCUGAUGCAGCAGGAGGACGCAGGACAGCGGACACUUUGGAGAUAUUAGUUUUAUAGGAAACUGCAGCGUCUACAAAACUGAUGGAAACGACAGACGCUGUGAUCCGAUGCAAGGCCGCGGAAGAGGUGCUGGAAGCAUUUUUGUGAACGAGCGGCCUGGAUGCUGCAGCUGAUCCUCAUCACGAUCAGCUGAUGCAGCAGGAGGACACGCAGGACAGCGGAAACUUUGGAGAUAUUAGCUGCUGGAAGACAGGAGAGCUGUCUUGGCCAUCAACUGCAUAUGACCUUAAGCAUCUCCUGUAAUAACAUCA